AAUAUUUGACAAUGGGUGGAACCCUGAUCCAGCCAGGCCGCGUGUGUGAAGAAGGAAUUUUGGUUGUAUAGCACUUUAAGCGAGGAGGAGGAGCUCUUGGUUUAUUCCCAAGAUGCUUGGACGUUACUCGCAGAAUAAGUACCGCCUAACUCUGUUCCAGCAGCCGCGGUAAUACAGAGGGUGCAAGCGUUAAUCGGAUUUACUGGGCGUAAAGCGCGCGUAGGUGGCCAAUUAAGUCAAAUGUGAAAUACCCGAGCUUAACUUGGGAAUUGCAUUCGAUACUGGUUGGCUAGAGUAUGGGAGAGGAUGGUAGGAUUCCAGGUGUAGCGGUGAAAUGCGUAGAGAUCUGGAGGAAUACCGAUGGCGAAGGCAGCCAUCUGGACUAAUACUGACACUGAGGUGCGAAAGCAUGGGGAGCAAAC
rnacentral:rRNA from 1 species